rnacentral:tRNA from 1 species
GCCCGUGUGGCUCAGUGAGUAGAGCGUCAGCUUGGGGACUGAAGGGUCCCUGGUUCGGUUCUGGUCAAGGGCA